AAGAAAUGUUUUUUCAAUGUUCAUUAUUCGUUCUUACAUUCCAUUUGCAGUAGCUUCAAGAAAGAAAAAGACAGAACCAUGAGUACCUUAGUACUAGUAAUUGGGAUUGCUGUGAUGGUAGCUUUAGCCACUGCACGCGGUUAUGAUAGUUACAAUCAAAGAUCAUGGGAUUUGCACGGUUCUGGACUUCUUAAUAAUGGAUGGAAUAGUAGACAUCUGACUAGAGGCUUGAGUGGCGGACAUCUAACAAGAGGAUUGAGUGGCGGACAUUUGACCGGAGGACUUCGAAGAUACAGAAGAGCAGCGACUGGUUACGGGCCAUAUGAUUCAUACAGAGACAAUCGCCGUAGUCAUUUUGACAGUGAUUUUGGAAGAUUCGAUAGAUGGGGAUCUAACGUAGGGUGGAGAUCUAAUUCCGGAUUGAGAUCUCAUUCCGGGUUGAGAUCUAAUUCAAAAUGGAGUCAGAUAGGUUACUAGAAAAAGACAAAGACCUAAGGAGCACACUUCAACAUUUGUACAUGUCAUCAUUCAUUGUUAGAUUUUAUACUUUUUUAUCAAUAAAUUUCUAAAAAUAUA